rnacentral:rRNA from 1 species
CCUACGGGGGGCAGCAGUGAGGAAUAUUGGUCAAUGGGCGCUAGCCUGAACCAGCCAAGUAGCGUGAAGGAUGACUGCCCUAUGGGUUGUAAACUUCUUUUAUAUGGGAAUAAAGUGCAGUAUGUAUACUGCUUUGCAUGUACCUUAUGAAUAAGGAUCGGCUAACUCCAUGCCAGCAGCCGCGGUAAUACGGAGGAUCCGAGCGUUAUCCGGAUUUAUUGGGUUUAAAGGGUGCGCAGGCGGAGGUGCAAGUCAGCGGUCAAAUUGCGGGGCUCAACCCCGUACUGCCGUUGAAACUGCAUCCCUUGAGUGCGCGAGAAGUAUGCGGAAUGCGUGGUGUAGCGGUGAAAUGCAUAGAUAUCACGCAGAACUCCGAUUGCGAAGGCAGCAUACCGGCGCGCAACUGACGCUCAUGCACGAAAGCGUGGGUAUCGAACAGGAUUAGAUACCCCAGUAGUC